rnacentral:rRNA from 1 species
CCUACGGGAGGCCGCAGUGGGGAAUCUUGCACAAUGGAGGAAACUCUGAUGCAGCGAUGCCGCGUGAGUGAAGAAGGCCCUUGGGUUGUAAAGCUCUUUUGUCGGGAAAGAUAAUGACGUACCGA